ACGGGAGGCAGCAGUGGGGAAUAUUGGGCAAUGGGCGCAAGCCUGACCCAGCAACGCCGCGUGAAGGAAGAAGGCUUUCGGGUUGUAAACUUCUUUUACCAGGGAAGAAGAAAGUGACGGUACCUGGAGAAAAAGCCACGGCUAACUACGUACCAGCAGCCGCGGUAAUACGUAGGUGGCAAGCGUUGUCCGGAUUUACUGGGUGUAAAGGGCGUGUAGGCGGGAAGACAGGUCAGAUGUGAAAUGUCGGGGCUCAACCCCGGAACUGCAUUUGAAACCGUUUUUCUUGAGUAUCGGAGAGGCAGGCGGAAUUCCUAGUGUAGCGGUGAAAUGCGUAGAUAUUAGGAGGAACACCAGUGGCGAAGGCGGCCUGCUGGACGACAGCUGACGCUGAGGCGCGAAAGCGUGGGUAGCAAACAGGAUUAGAUACCCUGGUA
rnacentral:rRNA from 1 species